UUUGAUAAUUAUCCUAAGGGCCCUCACUGGCAAACUGCGUUCCAUGAUCUUUUGGGACAAGGGAUCUUUAAUAGCGAUGGAGAUACAUGGCUUAUACAGCGGAAAACUGCAGCUCUAGAGUUCACUACAAGGACUUUGAGACAAGCCAUGGCUCGGUGGGUGAACAGGACAAUCAAGAAUCGUCUGUGGAGCAUUUUAGAUAAAGCAGCUACUGAGAAACUCUCAGUGGACUUGCAAGACUUGCUGCUCCGGUUAACCUUCGAUAACAUAUGUGGACUCACCUUUGGGAAAGAUCCUCAAACCCUCUCUCCAGAAUUGCCUGAAAACCCAUUCGCUAUUGCAUUUGAUACAGCCACUGAAGCUACCCUUCAACGGCUUCUUUACCCUGGUUUCUUAUGGAGAGUUGAGAAGAUCUUAGGAAUUGGAGCAGAGAAGAGACUAAAGAUGAGCCUCAAAGUUGUCGAGAACUACAUGGACGAUGCAAUAGCAGCACGCAAAGAAAAUCCAUCGGAUGACCUGUUAUCUCGAUUCAUGAAGAAAAGAGAUGUUGAUGGUAAUCUCUUUCCAAUCUCCGUUCUCCAACGAAUCGCUCUAAACUUCGUACUUGCCGGCCGCGACACCUCCUCAGUUGCUCUUAGUUGGUUCUUCUGGCUAGUCAUGAACCACCCAGAAGUUGAAGCAAAGAUUGUCAAGGAAAUAUCAACAGUACUUGAAGAAACGCGUGGCAAUGAUCAUCAGAAAUGGCUAGAGGAGCCUCUAGACUUUAAUGAAGCCGAUAAAUUGGUCUAUCUUAAAGCAGCAUUAGCCGAAACACUGCGUCUAUACCCUUCAGUCCCUCAGGAUUUCAAAUAUGUUGUAGCAGAUGACGUUUUGCCGGACGGCACAUUCGUGCCCGCAGGUUCAACCGUUACAUAUUCUAUAUAUUCUGUAGGGAGAAUGAAGAGCAUAUGGGGUGAGGAUUGUAUGGAAUUCAAGCCGGAGCGGUGGGUGUCACCGGAAGGGAACCGAUUUGAACCUCCUAAAGAUGGCUACAAGUUUGUGGCUUUUAAUGCUGGACCCAGAACUUGUUUAGGGAAGGACUUGGCUUACCUGCAAAUGAAAUCUGUGGCUUCAGCGGUGCUAUUGCGUUACCGGUUAUGUCUGGUUCCCGGUCACCUUGUGCAGCAGAAGAUGUCUCUUACGUUGUUCAUGAAGAAUGGGCUUCGUGUAUUCUUGCAUCCUCGUACGCUGGCAUAGUAGGGGUGUUUUCUGGGCUUCUCUCUCUCUCUCUCUCUCAAUUGUAAAAAUUCUUCCUCUCUGAAGCUGCAUUUCAGUCUCUUUCUUUUCUCAAGUUCCAUCCUGUAAUUUAACAUACUAAUAUCUUUCAUGUCCUUGAAAUCCCACUAAAAUUUCCCUCUCUGUGCAAAAAAUCCAUAUCUCUCUCUCCCUCCAUAACCAUUAACAAUGAGUACACAAGCACCCAAAUCGGCAAAAACCACAAAACCCCCUAACCAAAACCAGCCCACCUCAAGAUCGCCCUCUCUCUCCACUCACUUAGCCAUGGUAGAACUCAAGCAACGAAUCCUUAUCUCUCUCUCUAAGCUGGCCGACCGCGACACCCAUCAGAUCGCCCUCGAAGACCUUCAUUCUAUUACCCAAUCUAUCUCACCUGAAGCGCUCCCUUUGCUCCUCAACUCCCUCUAUGACUCCCUUUCUGACUCAUCCAACGCCAAACCAUCCGUCAAGAAAGAAUCUCUGCAUUUGCUCUCUCUGACUUGCCAAUCUCAUCGGGAUUUGACGUUGCCCCACUUGACGAAAAUCAUUGCCUACGUUGUUAAGAGACUGAAGGAUCCUGAUUCAAGUGUUAAGGAUGCGUGUAGAGAUGCUAUUGGGGUUUUGUCACGGUUGUAUUUAAAGAGUGGUAGUGGUGGAGAGGGAAGUGGAGAUGGUAAUGGAAUGGGAUCCAUGAUGGGAUUGUUUGUUAGGCCGCUGUUUGAGGCCAUGGGAGAGCAGAACAAAGGUGUUCAAUCAGGUGCUGCAAUGUGUAUGGCGAAAAUGGUGGAGUGCGCCGCUAUAGACGCGAAUGAUGCUGGCGGAAAUGCUGUUGAUGGAAAUGUCCCGACUGCGGCGUUCCAGAAGUUGUGUCCAAGGAUUUGUAAAUUGUUGAAUGGCCAAAAUUUCCUGGCGAAAGCUGCUUUAUUAGGGGUUGUGACUAGUUUGGCUCAGGUGGGAGCAAUUGCACAGCAAGGGUUGGAACCAUUGCUGGAAAGUAUUCAUGACUGCCUUGGGAGUACAGACUGGGCAACACGUAAGGCUGCAGCUGAUGCUCUAAGUGCGUUAGCAUUGCAUUCAAGCAGCUUAAUUGCGGAUGGAGCUGUUAAUUCCACAAUGACAGUGCUUGAGGCUUCCCAUUUUGACAAGGAACUCGUGCUCUGGUUGAAAUAUAUUGCUUUAGAAGAUCAGUGUAUAUCGCUUUAUAUAGCCUUUUUUUGCCUUCGGGACCAUCAUCAUAGCAAAAUGAUCAUUAUUUAUUAGUUGAACAGAUAAAGCCUGUCAGAGAUAGUGUGACAGAGGCAUUGCAGUUAUGGAAGAAGAUUGCAGGAAAAGCAGAAGAUGGUGUUUUGGAUGAUCAAAAGGCUUCGUCUCGUGAUGGUCAACAUCCUGAACAAGCAGAGUUGUUAAAUAAGGAUUUAAAUCCCAGAGACCAGAAAACAGAAUCAUUGGCGAGGGAUUCAUCCAGUGGUUCUUCCCUGACUAUGGAUUCUGUUUCUAAAGGUGGAAGCAUUCCUGACAAAGUGGUUGUAAUACUGAAGAGGAAAGCACCUGCUUUGACAGACAAAAACUUAAACCCAGAAUUCUUCCAGAAACUUGAAAGAAGGGAGUCUGGUGAUCUGCCUGUAGAAGUUGUUGUUCCUCGUAGAUGUAUCAAUUCCUCAAAAUUGAACAAUGAGGAAGAACCAGAGCCAAAUGAUUCUGAAUCAAGGGGAAGGUCUAGCCGCAUUGGAAAUAGUCAAUCAGAUGACAUCCAUGGAUCUUUCAAUAAUAAGUACCAAAACCUUGAGAGAGAAAUUGCUGGGAAAGAUUCAAGAACUAGAGCAUUUGAUAAUGACAGGCUUGAUGUAAAUCAUGGGGAAUCAUCUGGUAGUCGUGCCGGUUUCUCUAAAUCUGAUGGCCAAUCUGAAGGAACCUUCAUGAAUAGCAAAGGAAAUUGGUUGGCUAUCCAGAGGCAGCUAUUGCAGUUGGAGAGACAACAAGCUCAUCUCAUGAAUAUGGUGCAGGAUUUUAUGGGUGGGUCUCACGAUAGCAUGGUAACUUUGGAAUAUAGAGUUAAGGGUCUUGAGAGAAUAGUUGAAGACAUGGCACGUGAUUUGUCAAUAUCAUCAGGCCGAAGGGGUAAUAAUUUUCCUAUGGGUUUUGAGGGAUCUUCUAAUAGACCUUUAGGAAAGUACAGUGGCUUCUCUGACUACUCCAGUGGCAAGUAUAAUGGACGUGUUCGUUUUGGGGAAAGAUUUACCCAAUCUGAUGUUACUGCUUCAGGCAUGAGAGGAAGGGGCCCUCAUUCGAGAUCUGAUGUGUCUGAUGAUUGGAAUAUUCCAACUUAUGGUGCUUCCAGAAAUGGGCACAUUAACUCGAGGAGAGCUCCUGGUAGCGGUUCUCUGGAUGUUAGAUCACCUAAAUCAGAACCUGAAAGUGAUCAGGUUGGCAGCCGGAGAGCCUGGGAUAAAGGUGCUGGGCCUGUUAGGCUUGGUGAGGGGCCUUCUGCUCGGAGCGUCUGGCAAGCCUCUAAGGAUGAAGCUACCUUAGAAGCCAUUCGGGUUGCUGGGGAGGACAAUGGAUUAUCUCGGACUGCAAGAGUAGCCAUCCCUGAAAUGACAGCAGAAGCCUUGGAAGAUGAUUGUGGUGGCAUGCAAGAGCGAGAUCCUAUUUGGACUUCUUGGAGUAAUGCAAUGGAUGCCCUUAAAAUGGGUGAUAUGGAUACAGCUUAUGCUGAAGUUGUAUCUACAGGAGAUGAUUUCCUGCUUGUGAAGCUUAUGGACAGAUCAGGUCCUGUGAUUGACCAACUUUCAAAUGAGACAGCACGUGAGGUCUUGCAUGCUAUUACACAGUUUCUACUGGAGCACAACUUGUUUGACAUCUGUUUGUCUUGGAUUCAGCAGGUAUUCCUCAAGUGAACACAAGAUGCAAAUGAUUUGUUAAAAGGUUUUUUCUUAUCAUGCACAUAUCCUUGGCUUGUGAAGCAAUCACUCACUCCCUAGAAUUGCUAAUGUACAACCUCUUUGUAGUGAAUUAAAUGAGAGAGAGACUGUUGUCAUUCUUUAAGCCAGAGCAUAGCUUUGGAUUGGGAAGGGUAGGGACUGGGCAGAGUAAUCUGUACUUCCUCAGGCCCUGUGGCUAGGAAUUAUAUGCCCGAGUACAGAAUGCCCUUGGCAUGAUAUCGUAAAUGCAUGUGGGAUCUGCUGUGAUGUUAUGGAAAAAUAGGCAGAACUCUAUGGUUAGAGCUGCUGUGGCAGCAUGGUGGAGAUGAUAUGUAUAUAUAUUAUAAAAUAUUUUACAAUGAUAUAUUAUCUAUGCGUUGUUUUACUUAAAAAGUAGUAGAGAUCAGUCUCAGCCUUUUAGGUGGUAAUAAAUUGAUUUUGAUGGAGGUGGGAUUCUGGACUUGUUGGAGGUGGCGAAUGGUUAAAUUUUAGUUGAGGUAGAUCUACUGAUCUAGGGCCUUAAUUUUCAAUAUAAGCUGAAGAGGAAUAGAGCUUAUGUUACUAUAAGUGUUUGCUUUCUGGAAUGUGAUGGUUUGGUCCUUAGUUCUUCCAGUUACCUUUUGUGGUUCAUUAUUGAAUUACAUUCCAUAGAUUAUCACAUCCUCAGUUUUGUCUGUGCAAGGAGCUAUGCAUCUAAUAUUGAUGAGAGUUGUAAUAUAUUUCAUUUGAUUGCUUCAUGUUCUUCAGUUGGUAGAAAUAGUGUUGGAAAAUGGACCUGAUACCCUGGGCAUUCCCAAGGAAUUGAAGAAGGAGCUUCUACUGAAUUUACAUGAAGCUUCUACAGAAAUUGAUCCACCAGAAGAUUGGGAAGGGGUAACACCUGAUCAACUCUUGAUGCAGUUGGCAUCAGCCUGGGGAAUUGAACUGCAACAGUUUGACAGGUAGUCACUCAACUGCCUGUCUUGGUUAUUAUAAAUUUUGUACAAACCUUUUUGACUGGGUGAUUAGUAAAAUAUACGUAUCAAUUUUACAAUUAAAAUGUAAAUGAACUUACAAAAGCUUUCAAACAAAUUUGCAGUCUGGAAUUGUGCAUUGAUACUAGUAUUUAGUGAAGAUGGGAUUUAAAUUUUCUGCUAGA
rnacentral:misc_RNA from 1 species